CCAGCAGAGGAUGACUAAUGAAGAACAGCAGAAUAGCAGUAUUUUCCCGAACUGUUCUCUCAGUGCCCAGUGAAUGAUCCACAGCCAAAGGAAGAACAUAUGGAAAAGAACACUUUUCAGUGUCUUAUGAACAUCGAACUCCUAUUUCCUAAUCCGACUAACAUCCUGAUUACCCUGAAGUCCAAACAGUGAGUACCUUGCUGAAGACUAUGUGAGUGUGCUGACAGUUCUCAGCUUGGCCGUUCAUGUUGGAAUCAAUUGGUCGAAAAAGUUUUUUAACUCUGGAAGACCAUCUUCUAAAAAGAAUAAGUUUUAGCUUUUCCUGAUGCUACUUUAUUUAUUUAUUUAUUAUUAUUAUUAUUUAUUAUGCUAUGCUAUUAUUGCCAUUAUCCUUUUUGCCUUAUACUUUCCUCAUUAGUUCAUAGU